rnacentral:rRNA from 1 species
AUUGAACGCUGGCGGCAUGCUUUACACAUGCAAGUCGAACGGUAACAGGCCGCAAGGUGCUGACGAGUGGCGAACGGGUGAGUAAUGCAUCGGAACGUGCCCAGUCGUGGGGGAUAACGCAGCGAAAGCUGCGCUAAUACCGCAUACGAUCUAUGGAUGAAAGCGGGGGACCGUAAGGCCUCGCGCAAUUGGAGCGGCCGGUAGCAGAUUAGGUAGUUGGUGGGGGAAAGGCUCACCAAGCCGACGAUCUGUAGCUGGUCGGAGAGGACGACCCAGCAACACUGGGACUGAGAAACUGCCCAGACUCCUACGGGAGGCAGAAGUGGGGAAUUUUGGACAAUGGGCGCAGGCCUGAUCCAGCAAUGCCGCGUGCAGGAAGAAGGCCUUCGGGUUGUAAACUGCUUUUGUACGGAACGAAACGGCUCUGGUUAAUACCUGGGGCUAAUGACGGUACCGUAAGAAUAAGCACCGGCUAACUACGUGCCAGCAGCCGCAGUAAUAC